CCAGCCCUAGCCCCAGUCCCAGUCCUAGUUCCUCAGUCCCGCCCAGCUUCUCUCGAAAGUCACUCUAAUUUUCAUUGAUUCAGUGCUCAAAAUAAGUUGUCCAUUGCUUAUCCUAUUAUACUGGGAUAUUCCGUUUACCCUUGGCAUUGCUGAUCUUCAGUACUGACUCCUUGACCAUUUUCAGUUAAUGCAUACAAUCCCAUUUGUCUGUGAUCUCAGGACAAAGAAUUUCCUUACUCGGUACGUUGAAGUUAGGGAAUGUCAAUUGAGAGCUUUCUAUCAGAGCAUUAUUGCCCACAAUUUGAGUUACUUAUCAUUUUCUCGAUCCCCUGCCCUUAAAGGAGAAACCAUUUCUCUGUCAUUGCUUCUGUAGUCACAGUCCCAAUUUUGAGUAGUGAUCUUUUCUUGUGUACUGUGUUGGCCACCUAAAACUCUUUGCAUUGAGUAAAAUUCUAAUUGCCAAUAAUCCUACCCAUUGGAUUAGACAGCACUCUGAACCCCAUUUGCAUUCAGCAGGGGGUCGCAGACAACCCGUCUUUUGUUGGACAGUUAAAAUGCUCAGUCCCAAUUGUCAUAGCUUUGCCUAUUAAACAAAGGCACCCUACUGCGCUUUUUGCUGUGCUUCUGGAGAAUCCUGCUGUUCUUGGACAAUUAAAGAACAAAGUAGUAAUUGCUAAUUGUCUCACCCAUUAAUCAUGAAGACUACCAGUCGCCCUUGCAUUUGCCUUGAGGCAGCGCUGACUACCUGAGAUUUAAGAGUUUCUUAAAUUAUUGAGUAAAAUCCCAAUUAUCCAUAGUUCUGUUAGUUACACUAUGGCCUUUGCAAACAUCUUUGCAUAACAGCAGUGGGACUGACUCAUUCUUAGAGCCCCUUCCCUUGGAAUAUUAAUGGAUACAAUAGUAAUUAUUCAUGGUUCUGCGUAACAGAGAAGACCCACUUAUGUGUAUGCCUUUAUCAUUGCUCCUAGAUAGUGUGAACUACCUACCACCUUGCAUUAAUAUGUAAAACACUAAUUGCCCAUAGUCCCACUCAUUAGUCUAGGAUGUCCUCUUUGCCAUUGCUGCUGAGUUCUGACUACCCAAGUUUCCUUCUCUUAAACAGUUGAUAUGCAUAAUUGCAUAUAUUCAUGGUUCUGUGCAAUAAAAAUGGAUUCUCACCCCAUCCCACCUUCUGUGGGAUGUUGCUAACGAGUGCAGAUUAUUCAAUAACAGCUCUUGAACAGUUAAUUUGCACAGUUGCAAUUGUCCAGAGUCCUGUCCAUUAGAAAGGGACUCUGUAUCCUAUUUGCACGCUACAAUGUGGGCUGAUCACCCAAGGACUCUUCUUGUGCAUUGAUGUUCAUAAUUGUAUUUGUCCACGAUCUUGUGCACUAACCCUUCCACUCCCUUUGUAUUCCAGCAGGGGACCCUUACUACUCAAGACCUCUGUACUAGGACAGUUUAUGUGCACAAUCCUAAUUGAUUAGAACUGAGUCUUUUAUAUCAAGGUCCCUGCAUCAUCUUUGCUUUACAUCAAGAGGGUGCUGGUUACCUAAUGCCCCUCCUCCAGAAAUUAUUGAUGUGCAAAAUGCAAUUUCCCUAUCUGCUGUUAGUCUGGGGUCUCAUCCCCUCAUAUUCCUUUUGUCUUACAGCAGGGGGUACUUGGGACUGUUAAUGCGCAUAAUUGCAAUUAUGGUCUUUUCCAUUAAAUUAAGAUCCCAACUGCUCACACCCUCUUAGCAUUACAGUAGAGGGUGCUAAUCACAAGGACAUUUCUUUUGUACUGUUAAUGUGCUACUUGCAUUUGUCCCUCUUCCUGUGCACUAAAGACCCCACUCACUUCCCUAGUGUUCAGCAGUGGAUGACCUCUAGUCAAGACCUUUGCACUAGGAUAGUUAAUGUGAACCAUGGCAACUGAUCACAACAAUGUCUUUCAGAUCAGAUCCAUUUUAUCCUCCUUGUUUUACAGCAAGGGAUAUUAAUUACCUAUGUUACCUUUCCCUGGGACUAUGAAUGUGCAAAAUUCCAAUGUUCAUGGUCUCUCCCUUUAAACCUAUAUUCUACCCCUUUUACAUUAUAGAAAGGGAUGCUGGAAACCCAGAGUCCUUCUCUUGGGACUCUUAAUGUGUAUUUCUAAUUAUCCAUGACUCUUAAUGUGCAUAUUUUCAAUUGCCUAAUUGAUUUCAAUUGUCUAAGACAUUUCAAAUGUCUAAUUGAUUAGAACUGAGUCUUUUAUAUCAAGCUAAUAUCUAGCUUUUAUAUCAAGCUAAUAUCUUGACUUCUCAGCAUCAUAGAAGGGGGUACUGAUUUCCUAAAGUCUUUCUUGAAUUUCUAUUAUGCAAAAUUGCCCUGAGGCCGGGUGUGGUGGCUCACACCUGUAAUCCCAGCACUUUGGGAGGCUGAGGUGGGAAGAUCCCUUACUGCCAGGAGUUUGAGACCAGCCUGGCCAACAUUAAAAAAAAAAAAAAGUAAGACAAUUGCCCUGGAAUCCCAUCCCCCUCACACCUCCUUGGCAAAGCAGCAGGAGUGCUAACUAGCUAGUGCUUCUUCUCUUAUACUGCUUAAAUGCGCAUAAUUAGCAGUAGUUGAUGUGCCCCUAUGUUAGAGUAGAAUCCCGCUUCCUUGCUCCAUUUGCAUUACUGCAGGAGCUUCUAACUAGCCUGAAUUCACUCUCUUGGACUGUUAAUGUGCAUACUUAUAUUUGCUGCUGUACUUUUUUACCAUGUAAGGACCCCACCCACUGUAUUUACAUCCCAGCUGGAAGUACCUACUACUUAAGACCCUUAGACUAGUAAAGUUAGCGUGCAUAAUCUUAGGUGUUAUAUACACAUUUUCAGUUGCAUACAGUUGUGCCUUUUAUCAGGACUCCUGUACUUAUCAAAGCAGAGAGUGCUAAUCAAUAUUAAGCCCUUCUCUUCGAACUGUAGAUGGCAUGUAAUUGCAGUUGUCAAUGGUCCUUCAAUUAGACUUGGGUUUCUGACCUAUCACACCCUCUUUGCUUUAUUGCAUGGGGUACUAUUCACUUAAGGCCCCUUUCUCAAACUGUUAAUGUGCCUAAUGACAAUUACAUCAGUAUCCUUCCUUUUGAAGGACAGCAUGGUUGGUGACACCUAAGGCCCCAUUUCUUGGCCUCCCAAUAUGUGUGAUUGUAUUUGUCGAGGUUGCUAUGCACUAGAGAAGGAAAGUGCUCCCCUCAUCCCCACUUUUCCCUUCCAGCAGGAAGUGCCCACCCCAUAAGACCCUUUUAUUUGGAGAGUCUAGGUGCACAAUUGUAAGUGACCACAAGCAUGCAUCUUGGACAUUUAUGUGCGUAAUCGCACACUGCUCAUUCCAUGUGAAUAAGGUCCUACUCUCCGACCCCUUUUGCAAUACAGAAGGGUUGCUGAUAACGCAGUCCCCUUUUCUUGGCAUGUUGUGUGUGAUUAUAAUCGUCUGGGAUCCUAUGCACUAGAAAAGGAGGGUCCUCUCCACAUACCUCAGUCUCACCUUUCCCUUCCAGCAGGGAGUGCCCACUCCAUAAGACUCUCACAUUUGGACAGUCAAGGUGCGUAAUUGUUAAGUGAACACAACCAUGCACCUUAGACAUGGAUUUGCAUAACUACACACAGCUCAACCUAUCUGAAUAAAAUCCUACUCUCAGACCCCUUUUGCAGUACAGCAGGGGUGCUGAUCACCAAGGCCCUUUUUCCUGGCCUGGUAUGCGUGUGAUUAUGUUUGUCCCGGUUCCUGUGUAUUAGACAUGGAAGCCUCCCCUGCCACACUCCACCCCCAAUCUUCCUUUCCCUUCCGGCAGGGAGUGCCCUCUCCAUAAGACGCUUACGUUUGGACAAUCAAGGUGCACAGUUGUAAGUGACCACAGGCAUACACCUUGGACAUUAAUGUGCAUAACCACUUUGCCCAUUCCAUCUGAAUAAGGUCCUACUCUCAGACCCCUUUUGCAGUACAGCAGGGGUGCUGAUCACCAAGGCCCCUUUUCUUGGCCUGUUAUGUGCGUGAUUAUAUUUGUCUGGGUUCCUGUGUAUUAGACAAGGAAGCCUUCCCCCCGCCCCCACCCCCACUCCCAGUCUUCCUUUCCCUUCCAGCAGGGAGUGCCCCCUCCAUAAGAUCAUUACAUUUGGACAAUCAAGGUGCACAAUUAUAAGUGACCACAGCCAUGCACCUUGGACAUUAUUGGACAUUAAUGUGCGUAACUGCACAUGGCCCAUCCCAUCUGAAUAAGGUCCUACUCUCAGAUGCCCUUUGCAGUACAGCAGGGGUACUGAAUCACCAAGGCCCUUUUUCUUGGCCUGUUAUGUGUGUGAUUAUAUUUAUCCCAGUUUCUGUGUAAUAGACAUGAAAGCCUCCCCUGCCACACCCCACCUCCAAUCUUCCUUUCCCUUCCACCAGGGAGUGUCCACUCCAUAUACCCUUACAUUUGGACAAUCAAGGUGCACAAUUGUAAGUGAGCAUAGGCACUCACCUUGGACAUGAAUGUGCAUAACUGCACAUGGCCCAUCCCAUCUGAAUAAGGUCCUACUCUCAGACCCUUUUUGCAGUACAGCAGGGGUGCUGAUCACCAAGGCCCCUUUUCCUGGCCUGUUAUGUGUGUGAUUAUAUUUGUUCCAGUUCCUGUGUAAUAGACAUGGAAGCCUCCCCUGCCACACUCCACCCCCAAUCUUCCUUUCCCUUCUGGCAGGAAGUACCCGCUCCAUAAGACCCUUACAUUUGGACAGUCAAGGUGCACAAUUGUAUGUGACCACAACCAUGCACCUUGGACAUAAAUGUGUGUAACUGCACAUGGCCCAUCCCAUCUGAAUAAGGUCCUACUCUCAGACCCCUUUUGCAGUACAGUAGGUGUGCUGAUAACCAAGGCCCCUCUUCCUGGCCUGUUAACGUAUGUGAUUAUAUUUGUCUGGGUUCCAGUGUAUAAGACAUGGAAGCCUCCCCUGCCCCACCCCACCCUCAAUCUUCCUUUCCCUUCUGGCAGGGAGUGCCAGCUCCAUAAGAACCUUACAUUUGGACAGUCAAGGUGCACAAUUCUAAGUGACCGCAGCCAUGCACCUUGGUCAAUAAUGUGUGUAACUGCACACGGCCUAUCUCAUCUGAAUAAGGCCUUACUCUCAGACCCCUUUUGCAGUACAGCAGGGGUGCUGAUAACCAAGGCCCAUUUUCCUGGCCUGUUAUGUGUGUGAUUAUAUUUGUCCAGGUUUCUGUGUACUAGACAAGGAAGCCUCCUCUGCCCCAUCCCAUCUACGCAUAAUCUUUCUUUUCCUCCCAGCAGGGAGUGCUCACUCCAUAAGACCCUUACAUUUGGACAAUCAAGGUGCACAAUUGUAAGUGACCACAACCAUGCAUCUUGGAAAUUUAUGUGCAUAACUGCACAUGGCUUAUCCUAUUUGAAUAAAGUCCUACUCUCAGACCCCCUUUGCAGUAUAGCUGGGGUGCUGAUCACUGAGGCCUCUUUGCUUGGCUUGUCUAUAUUCUUGUGUACUAGAUAAGGGCACCUUCUCAUGGACUCCCUUUGCUUUUCAACAAGGAGUACCCACUACUUUUUAAGAUUCUUAUAUUUGUCCAAAGUACAUGGUUUUAAUUGACCACAACAAUGUCCCUUGGACAUUAAUGUAUGUAAUCACCACAUGGUUCAUCCUAAUUAAACAAAGUUCUACCUUCUCACCCUCCAUUUGCAGUAUACCAGGGUUGCUGACCCCCUAAGUCCCCUUUUCUUGGCUUGUUGACAUGCAUAAUUGCAUUUAUGUUGGUUCUUGUGCCCUAGACAAGGAUGCCCCACCUCUUUUCAAUAGUGGGUGCCCACUCCUUAUGAUCUUUACAUUUGAACAGUUAAUGUGAAUAAUUGCAGUUGUCCACAACCCUAUCACUUCUAGGACCAUUAUACCUCUUUUGCAUUACUGUGGGGUAUACUGUUUCCCUCCAAGGCCCCUUCUGGUGGACUAUCAACAUAUAAUUGAAAUUUUCUUUUGUCUUUGUCAGUAGAUUAAGGUCAUACCCCAUCACCUUUCCUUUGUAGUACAACAGGGUGUCCUGAUCAACCAAAGUCCUGUUGUUUUGGACUGUUAAUAUGUGCAAUUACAUUUGCUCCUGAUCUGUGCACUAGAUAAGGAUCCUACCUACUUUCUUAGUGUUUUUAGCAGGUAGUGCCCACUACUCAAGACUGUCACUUGGAAUGUUCAUGUGCACAAACUCAAUUCUCUAAGCAUGUUCCUGUACCACCUUUGCUUUAGAGCAGGGGGAUGAUAUUCACUAAGUGCCCCUUCUUUUGGACUUAAUAUGCAUUAAUGCAAUUGUCCACCUCUUCUUUUAGACUAAGAGUUGAUCUCCACAUAUUCCCCUUGCAUCAGGGGCAUGUUAAUUAUGAAUGAACCCUUUUCUUUUAAUAUUAAUGUCAUAAUUGUAUUUGUGGACCUGUGUAGGAGAAAAAGACCCUAUGUUCCUCCCAUUACCCUUUGGAUUGCUGCUGAGAAGUGUUAACUACUCAUAAUCUCAGCUCUUGGACAAUUAAUAGCAUUAAUAACAAUUAUCAAGGGCACUGAUCAUUAGAUAAGACUCCUGCUUCCUCGUUGCUUACAUCGGGGGUACUGACCCACUAAGGCCCCUUGUACUGUUAAUGUGAAUAUUUGCAAUUAUAUAUGUCUCCUUCUGGUAGAGUGGGAUAUUAUGCCCUAGUAUCCCCUUUGCAUUACUGCAGGGGCUGCUGACUACUCAAAACUUCUCCUGGGACUGUUAAUAGGCACAAUGGCAGUUAUCAAUGGUUUUCUCCCUCCCUGACCUUGUUAAGCAAGCGCCCCACCCCACCCUUAGUUUCCCAUGGCAUAAUAAAGUAUAAGCAUUGGAGUAUUCCAUGCACUUGUCUAUCAAACAGUGGUCCAUACUCCCAACCCUUUUGCAUUGCGCCAGUGUGUAAAAUCACAGGUAGCCAUGGUGUCAUGCUUUAUAUACGAAGUCUUCCCUCUCUCUGCCCCUUGUGUGCCCUUGGCCCCUUUUUACAGACUAUUGCUCACAAUCUCAGGUGUCCAUAUUUGCAGCUAUUAGGUAAGAUUGUGCUGUCUCCCUCUUCCCUUCCCUCUGCCCUGCCCCUUUUGCCUCUUUGCUGGGUAAUGUUGACCAGACAAGGCCCUUUCUCUUGGACUUAAACAAUUCUCAGUUGCACUUUCCUUGGUCCCACCCAUUAUACAUGAACCCCUCUACUUCCUUUCGCAUUGCUUCUGAGUAUGCUGACUACCCAAAGCCCCUUCUGUGUUAUUAAUAAACACAGUACUGAUUGUCCCAUUUUUCAGCCCAUCAGUCCAAGAUCUCCCUACCACUUUGGUGUGUUGGUGCAGUGUUGACUAUGAAAAGCAGGCCUGAACUAGGUGGAUAAGCCUUCACUCAUUUUCUUUCAUUUAUUAAUGAUCCUAGUUUCAAUUAUUGUCAGAUUCUGGGGACAAGAACCAUUCUUGCCCACCUGUGUUACUGCUUUACUGUGCAAAAUACUGAAGGCAAGUCAGACCCAGGGAGCUGGAUUGCCAUCCUUUAUUUUGUGUUUCCAGUGUACACUAUAAAAUUGUCUCCCCAGGAAGGAAGGUUGGCACUUUCUCUGCAUUCUUCUUUCCAGAGCAGAUUGCCUGGUUAAGAAUCUCUUGUUGUCCCCUUUGUAUAUUGUUAUUGUAAAGUGCCAAAUGCCAGGAUACAGCCAGAAAAAUUGCUUAUUAUUAUUAAAAAAAUUUUUUUAAGAAAGACAUCUGGAUUGUAGGGUGGACUCGAUAACCUGGUCAUUAUUUUUUUGAAGCCAAAAUAUCCAUUUAUACUAUGUACCUGGUGACCAGUGUCUCUCAUUUUAACUGAGGGUGGUGGGUCUGUGGAUAGAACACUGACUCUUGCUAUUUUAAUAUCAAAGAUAUUCUAGAGUGGAACUCUUAAGACCAGUAUCUUUGUGUGGGCUUUACCAGCAUUCACUUUUAGAAAAACUACCUAAAUUUUAUAAUCCUUUAAUUUCUUCAUCUGGAGCACCUGCCCCUACUUAUUUCAAGAAGAUUGCAGUAAAACGAUUAAAUGAGGGAACAUAUGCAGAGGUGCUUUUAAAAAGCAUAUGCCACCUUUUUUAUUAAUUAUUAUAUAAAAUGAAGCAUUUAAUUAUAGUAAUAAUUUGAAGUAGUUUGAAGUACCACACUGAGGUGAGGACUUAAAAAUGAUAAGACGAGUUCCCUAUUUUAUAAGAAAAAUAAGCCAAAAUUAAAUAUUCUUUUGGAUAUAAAUUUCAACAGUGAGAUAGCUGCCUAGUGGAAAUGAAUAAUAUCCCAGCCACUAGUGUACAGGGUGUUUUGUGGCACAGGAUUAUGUAAUAUGGAACUGCUCAAGCAAAUAACUAGUCAUCACAACAGCAGUUCUUUGUAAUAACUGAAAAAGAAUAUUGUUUCUCGGAGAAGGAUGUCAAAAGAUCGGCCCAGCUCAGGGAGCAGUUUGCCCUACUAGCUCCUCGGACAGCUGUAAAGAAGAGUCUCUGGCUCUUUAGAAUACUCUCUUCAUUGUUCCUAUCUGCCAAAUCAUUAUACUUCCUACAAGCAGUGCAGAGAGCUGAGUCUUCAGCAGGUCCAAGAAAUUUGAACACACUGAAGGAAGUCAGCCUUCCCACCUGAAGAUCAACAUGCCUGGCACUCUAGCACUUGAGGAUAGCUGAAUGAAUGUGUAUUUCUUUGUCUCUUUCUUUCUUGUCUUUGCUCUUUGUUCUCUAUCUAAAGUGUGUCUUACCCAUUUCCAUGUUUCUCUUGCUAAUUUCUUUCGUGUGUGCCUUUGCCUCAUUUUCUCUUUUUGUUCACAAGAGUGGUCUGUGUCUUGUCUUAGACAUAUCUCUCAUUUUUCAUUUUGUUGCUAUUUCUCUUUGCUCUCCUAGAUGUGGCUCUUCUUUCACGCUUUAUUUCAUGUCUCCUUUUUGGGUCACAUGCUGUGUGCUUUUUGUCCUUUUCUUGUUCUGUCUACCUCUCCUUUCUCUGCCUACCUCUCUUUUCUCUUUGUGAACUGUGAUUAUUUGUUACCCCUUCCCCUUCUCGUUCGUUUUAAAUUUCACCUUUUUUCUGAGUCUGGCCUCCUUUCUGCUGUUUCUACUUUUUAUCUCACAUUUCUCAUUUCUGCAUUUCCUUUCUGCCUCUCUUGGGCUAUUCUCUCUCUCCUCCCCUGCGUGCCUCAGCAUCUCUUGCUGUUUGUGAUUUUCUAUUUCAGUAUUAAUCUCUGUUGGCUUGUAUUUGUUCUCUGCUUCUUCCCUUUCUACUCACCUUUGAGUAUUUCAGCCUCUUCAUGAAUCUAUCUCCCUCUCUUUGAUUUCAUGUAAUCUCUCCUUAAAUAUUUCUUUGCAUAUGUGGGCAAGUGUACGUGUGUGUGUGUCAUGUGUGGCAGAGGGGCUUCCUAACCCCUGCCUGAUAGGUGCAGAACGUCGGCUAUCAGAGCAAGCAUUGUGGAGCGGUUCCUUAUGCCAGGCUGCCAUGUGAGAUGAUCCAAGACCAAAACAAGGCCCUAGACUGCAGUAAAACCCAGAACUCAAGUAGGGCAGAAGGUGGAAGGCUCAUAUGGAUAGAAGGCCCAAAGUAUAAGACAGAUGGUUUGAGACUUGAGACCCGAGGACUAAGAUGGAAAGCCCAUGUUCCAAGAUAGAUAGAAGCCUCAGGCCUGAAACCAACAAAAGCCUCAAGAGCCAAGAAAACAGAGGGUGGCCUGAAUUGGACCGAAGGCCUGAGUUGGAUGGAAGUCUCAAGGCUUGAGUUAGAAGUCUUAAGACCUGGGACAGGACACAUGGAAGGCCUAAGAACUGAGACUUGUGACACAAGGCCAACGACCUAAGAUUAGCCCAGGGUUGUAGCUGGAAGACCUACAACCCAAGGAUGGAAGGCCCCUGUCACAAAGCCUACCUAGAUGGAUAGAGGACCCAAGCGAAAAAGGUAUCUCAAGACUAACGGCCGGAAUCUGGAGGCCCAUGACCCAGAACCCAGGAAGGAUAGAAGCUUGAAGACCUGGGGAAAUCCCAAGAUGAGAACCCUAAACCCUACCUCUUUUCUAUUGUUUACACUUCUUACUCUUAGAUAUUUCCAGUUCUCCUGUUUAUCUUUAAGCCUGAUUCUUUUGAGAUGUACUUUUUGAUGUUGCCGGUUACCUUUAGAUUGACAGUAUUAUGCCUGGGCCAGUCUUGAGCCAGCUUUAAAUCACAGCUUUUACCUAUUUGUUAGGCUAUAGUGUUUUGUAAACUUCUGUUUCUAUUCACAUCUUCUCCACUUGAGAGAGACACCAAAAUCCAGUCAGUAUCUAAUCUGGCUUUUGUUAACUUCCCUCAGGAGCAGACAUUCAUAUAGGUGAUACUGUAUUUCAGUCCUUUCUUUUGACCCCAGAAGCCCUAGACUGAGAAGAUAAAAUGGUCAGGUUGUUGGGGAAAAAAAAGUGCCAGGCUCUCUAGAGAAAAAUGUGAAGAGAUGCUCCAGGCCAAUGAGAAGAAUUAGACAAGAAAUACACAGAUGUGCCAGACUUCUGAGAAGCACCUGCCAGCAACAGCUUCCUUCUUUGAGCUUAGUCCAUCCCUCAUGAAAAAUGACUGACCACUGCUGGGCAGCAGGAGGGAUGAUGACCAACUAAUUCCCAAACCCCAGUCUCAUUGGUACCAGCCUUGGGGAACCACCUACACUUGAGCCACAAUUGGUUUUGAAGUGCAUUUACAAGUUUCUGGCAUCACUACCACUACUGAUUAAACAAGAAUAAGAGAACAUUUUAUCAUCAUCUGCUUUAUUCACAUAAAUGAAGUUGUGAUGAAUAAAUCUGCUUUUAUGCAGACACAAGGAAUUAAGUGGCUUCGUCAUUGUCCUUCUACCUCAAAGAUAAUUUAUUCCAAAAGCUAAGAUAAAUGGAAGACUCUUGAACUUGUGAACUGAUGUGAAAUGCAGAAUCUCUUUUGAGUCUUUGCUGUUUGGAAGAUUGAAAAAUAUUGUUCAGCAUGGGUGACCACCAGAAAGUAAUCUUAAGCCAUCUAGAUGUCACAAUUGAAACAAACUGGGGAGUUGGUUGCUAUUGUAAAAUAAAAUAUACUGUUUUGAAAACUUUGUAUUUUGAUGUGACAAUUUCUAACUCACUGUCCCUAA
rnacentral:lncRNA from 1 species